rnacentral:rRNA from 1 species
AGGACGAACGCUGGCGGCGUGCUUAACACAUGCAAGUCGAGCGGAAAGGCCCUUCGGGGUACUCGAGCGGCGAACGGGUGAGUAACACGUGAGUAAUCUGCCCCUAGCUCUGGGAUAGCUCCGGGAAACCGGGAUUAAUACCGGAUACGACCACCUUAGACAUCUUUUGUGGUGGAAAGAAUUUCGGCUAGGGAUGAGCUCGCGGCCUAUCAGCUUGUUGGUGGGGUAACGGCCUACCAAGGCGACGACGGGUAGCCGGCCUGAGAGGGCGACCGGCCACACUGGGACUGAGACACGGCCCAGACUCCUACGGGAGGCAGCAGUGGGGAAUAUUGCGCAAUGGGCGAAAGCCUGACGCAGCGACGCCGCGUGGGGAUGAAGGCCUUCGGGUUGUAAACCCCUUUCAGCAGGGACGAAGCGAAAGUGACGGUACCUGCAGAAGAAGCGCCGGCUAACUACGCGCCAGCAGCCGC